CUGGAAACCCCAUCCUCGUCUGUAUGAUGUUUCGUACAUAUAUCCCGAAGCAUUGGCAAUUACCUCAAGAAAUCUCUCCUGUUGAGUCUUGCUAAGAUAGCUGUACAAGAAGUCAUAAGCUGUGGCAAAGCCAACUAAGGAGUGGGCCAGAGGGACCUCAUCCCACGGGGCAUCCUUCACUAGCCAACUAGGCUGAGCUGCCAUCCUCUCCAUGUAAUCCUUGGCCAUGCCAAUGGCUUCAGUGUUGUCAGGAUAGAGAACACAGAACAUUGCCAAGGCCCCCAGGUUGUUGCCAUAAAUCUCA
rnacentral:lncRNA from 1 species